rnacentral:rRNA from 1 species
AACGAACGCUGGCGGCAGGCUUAACACAUGCAAGUCGAACGCAUCCUUCGGGGCGAGUGGCAGACGGGUGAGUAACGCGUGGGAACGUGCCCUUCAGUUCGGGAUAACCCAGGGAAACUUGGGCUAUACCGGAUACGUGCGAGAGCAGAAAGAUUUAUCGCUGAAGGAUCGGCCCGCGUCUGAUUAGCUAGUUGGUGGGGUAAUGGCCCACCAAGGCGACGAUCAGUAGCUUGUCUGAGAGGAUGAUCAGCCACAUUGGGACUGAGACGCGGCCCAAACUCCUACGGGAGGCAGCAGUGGGGAAUAUUGGACAAUGGGCGCAAGCCUGAUCCAGCCAUGCCGCGUGAGUGAUGAAGGCCUUAGGGUUGUAAAGCUCUUUCGUCCGGGACGAUAAUGACGGUACCGGAAGAAGAAGCCCCGGCUAACUUCGUGCCAGCAGCCGCGGUAA